rnacentral:rRNA from 1 species
UACAGAGGGUGCAAGCGUUAAUCGGAAUUACUGGGCGUAAAGCGCACGUAGGCGGCUUGGUAAGUUGGAUGUGAAAUCCCCGGGCUUAACUUGGGAAUUGCAUUCAAGACUGCCUUGCUAGAGUGUGGAAGAGGAAAGCGGAAUUCCAGGUGUAGCGGUGAAAUGCGUAGAUAUCUGGAGGAACAUCAGUGGCGAAGGCGGCUUUCUGGCCCAACACUGACGCUGAGGUGCGAAAGCGUGGGGAGCAAACAGG